rnacentral:rRNA from 1 species
GAUGAACGCUGGCGGCGUGCUUAAUACAUGCAAGUCGAACGAAUGGAUGUCUAGCUUGCUAGACUGAAGUUAGUGGCGAACGGGUGAGUAAUACAUAGGCAAUCUGCCCUGAAGUGUGGGAUAGCUAUUGGAAACGAUAAUUAAUACCGCAUAGGUAGUAGGAAGGCAUCUUCCUACUAUUAAAGAUGCGUCUGCAUCGCUGCAGGAUGAGCUUAUGGUGUAUUAGCUAGUUGGUGAGAUAAAAGCCCACCAAGGCUAUGAUACAUAGCUGGUCUGAGAGGAUGAACAGCCACAUUGGGACUGAGACACGGGCCCAGACUCCUACGGGAGGCAGCAGUAAGGAAUCUUCCGCAAUGGACGAAAGUCUGACGGAGCAACGCCGCGUGAACGAUGACGGCCUUCGGUUGUAAAGUUCUGUUAUACGGGACGAAUGGCGUAGCGGUCGAAUACCCGUUACGAGUGACGGUACCGUAAGAG